rnacentral:rRNA from 1 species
GAAUCUGCCUAUUAGUGGGGGACAACAUCUCGAAAGGGAUGCUAAUACCGCAUACGUCCUACGGGAGAAAGCAGGGGAUCUUCGGACCUUGCGCUAAUAGAUGAGCCUAAGUCGGAUUAGCUAGUUGGUGGGGUAAAGGCCUACCAAGGCGACGAUCUGUAGCGGGUCUGAGAGGAUGAUCCGCCACACUGGGACUGAGACACGGCCCAGACUCCUACGGGAGGCAGCAGUGGGGAAUAUUGGACAAUGGGCGCAAGCCUGAUCCAGCCAUGCCGCGUGUGUGAAGAAGGCCUUAUGGUUGUAAAGCACUUUAAGCGAGGAGGAGGCUACUUUAGAUAAUACCUAGAGAUAGUGGACGUUACUCGCAGAAUAAGCACCGGCUAACUCUGUGCCAGCAGCCGCGGUAAUACAGAGGGUGCAAGCGUUAAUCGGAUUUACUGGGCGUAAAGCGCGCGUAGGCGGCUAAUUAAGUCAAAUGUGAAAUCCCCGAGCUUAACUUGGGAAUUGCAUUCGAUACUGGUUAGCUAGAGUGUGGGA